rnacentral:rRNA from 1 species
GAUGAACGCUGGCGGCGUGCCUAAUACAUGCAAGUCGAGCGAACGGACGAGAAGCUUGCUUCUCUGAUGUUAGCGGCGGACGGGUGAGUAACACAUGGAUAACCUACCUAUAAGACUGGGAUAACUUCGGGAAACCGUAGCUAAUACCGGAUAAUAUUUUGAACCGCAUGGUUCAAAAGUGAAAGACGGUCUUGCUGUCACUUAUAGAUGGAUCCGCGCUGCAUUAGCUAGUUGGUAAGGUAACGGCUUACCAAGGCAACGAUGCAUAGCCGACCUGAGAGGGUGAUCGGCUACACUGGAACUGAGACACGGUCCAGACUCCUACGGGAGGCAGCAGUAGGGAAUCUUCCGCAAUGGGCGAAAGCCUGACGGAGCAACGCCGCGUGAGUGAUGAAGGUCUUCGGAUCGUAAAACUCUGUUAUUAGGGAAGAACAUAUGUGUAAGUAACUGUGCACAUCUUGACGGUACCUAAUCAGAAAGCCACGGCUAACUACGUG